AAUUCGAUUGAGUUUGAUCAUGGCUCAGAAUCAACGCUGGCGGCGUGCCUCAGACAUGCAAGUCGAACGCGAAAGUCCCCUUCGGGGGGCAAGUAGAGUGGCGCACGGGUGAGUAACACGUAGGUAAUCUACCUUCGGAUGGGGAAUAACAAUCGGAAACGGUUGCUAAUACCGCAUAAUGCAGCGGCACCUAAUGGUGACAGUUGUUAAAGCGGGGGAUCGGAAGACCUCGCGUCUGAAGAGGAGCCUGCGGCGGAUUAGCUAGUUGGUAAGGUAAUGGCUUACCAAGGCAACGAUCCGUAACCGGCCUGAGAGGGCGGUCGGUCACACUGACACUGACAUACGGGUCAGACUCCUACGGGAGGCAGCAGUCGGGAAUUUUGGGCAAUGGGCGAAGGCCUGACCCAGCAACGCCGCGUGAAGGAUGAAAUCCCUCGGGAUGUAAACUUCGCAAGAACGGGAAGAAUAAGUAGGGGACAAUACCCCCUAUGAUGACGGUACCGUUUGUAAGCUCCGGCUAACUCCGUGCCAGCAGCCGCGGUAAUACGGGGGGAGCAAGCGUUGUUCGGAUUUACUGGGCGUAAAGGGCGCGUAGGCGGCCAGCACAAGUCAGUUGUGAAAUCUCCGAGCUUAACUCGGAAAGGUCAACUGAUACUGUGCGGCUAGAGUGCGGAAGGGGCAACU
rnacentral:rRNA from 1 species